CUGACCUACGGGGCGCAGCAGUGGGGAAUAUUGCACAAUGGGGGAAACCCUGAUGCAGCGACGCCGCGUGAGUGAAGAAGUAUUUCGGUAUGUAAAGCUCUAUCAGCAGGGAAGAAGAAAGACGGUACCUGACUAAGAAGCCCCGGCUAACUACGUGCCAGCAGCCGCGGUAAUACGUAGGGGGCAAGCGUUAUCCGGAUUUACUGGGUGUAAAGGGAGCGUAGACGGCUGUGCAAGUCUGAAGUGAAAGGCCAGGGCUCAACCCUGGGACUGCUUUGGAAACUGUGGAGCUA
rnacentral:rRNA from 1 species